rnacentral:rRNA from 1 species
UACGUAGGGUGCGAGCGUUAAUCGGAAUUACUGGGCGUAAAGCGUGCGCAGGCGGUGAUGUAAGACCGAUGUGAAAUCCCCGGGCUUAACCUGGGAACUGCAUUGGUGACUGCAUUGCUGGAGUAUGGCAGAGGGGGGUGGAAUUCCACGUGUAGCAGUGAAAUGCGUAGAGAUCGUAAGGAAGACCAGUGGCGAAGGCGAGUUCCUGGACAGUUGCUGACGCUGAGGCACGAAGGCCAGGGGAGCAAACGGG